rnacentral:rRNA from 1 species
UACGUAGGCAGCAAGCGUUGUUCGGAAUUACUGGGCGUAAAGAGUGUGUAGGUGGUGUCGUAAGUUUGGUGUGAAAUCUCCCGGCUUAACUGGGAGGGUGCGCCGAAGACUGCGAUGCUGGAGUAUGGGAGAGGAAAGCGGAAUUCCUGGUGUAGCGGUGAAAUGCGUAGAGAUCAGGAAGAACACCGGUGGCGAAGGCGAUCUGCUAGGCCGCAACUGACACUGAGGGACGAAAGCUAGGGGAGCGAAUGGG